UACAUAAACGAGCGUGAUGUAAUAUUUUUAUCAUUGAAACAUAUCACGAACGGCGACUUCACCUAGUUCCCAAGCAAACAAAUCUUACACAAGAUGCAUUUUCAAUUUCGCGAUACGAUUUACAUCUCAAAGGCGCUCGUAAUAAAUAUAAUCGAAGUUCAUAAGUAGCGAGUUGAUAAACGAUUUACAUCUCAAAGCUACUUCCGAUGAAGUUACAAACCUACAUAGAGCACUUCGUUUCCCUUGUUAUUGUGUAAUGAUAUUAUCCGAUGUUUACAUAUAGUUUAUUUCUUCUAAAUUUACUGUUUACCAGUUUAUAGUUCGUAGUAUCAUGAGGAAACAGGGAAUAUUUAGAAAUCACGUAUUUGAGGAAAAUUGUUGCAUGCAUGGGCAGUCUAAUCAUAAACCACUACUUCUCUGCGGUAUCAAGAAACUUAAGCAGCUUUUAUGUCUUAAGAAUUCAAGUAGUUUUUGAAACGUGAAAAAUCAUAAGCAAAAGUAAAACUGAGAAAACUAUUAAUCACUGUAGUAAAAGAUGGAAAACAGGUCACGGUGCAAUUCUACGCAAUUUUUACCGGGAGUAAAAGCGAAGUUAAACGUGACAGCGAAACAUUAAACUUCUUCAUUGCAACGUACAAAGAAAGAAUCGCUAGUGGAUCAGUGGAGCAUAUACGAAGCCGUAAAAAUUACUGGCAUCAAGCAGUCAGUACUCGUGGAAAAUAUAACCUGGCCUGUUAACGGCACGACAAAGAAGAUCGCGGUUAUUAUUUUCCUGUGGAAAGGUUUCCUUACGGGUAUCGUAGCCUGAUUCAAGAAUGCCUACGUUUAUCACCCAGAGGAAUUAUUUACGACCUUACGAACCAAAGUAGAUCAGAUGUAAAAUUUUACACCGAUUUCUAUUUACUUCAGUGGGUAAUGUACAAUCCUUUUGAGGAAAAAUAAAGGCCACGUUCUUUGCGAACGCCCAAUUGCUGCGAACGUAAGGAAAAUUUUACAGGUUCGACAUUCCUUUUUAAUUACUUCUUCGCUAAUAAGAUACGUGCGAAGCAUUCUUCAAUAUCAACACGUCAUAAGUAUGUGUUAUACCGUCGGUGGAAGAGAUAUGUAUAAUGCUUAUGAUGAAAUCAUCAAAGUUUGCUUGUAUGAUUCAACAACCGAAAUAGCCAUCGGUGACAUAUAAAGGAAUAUACUGGAUGCAGGAUAUUUUUUAGAAUUAUAUCAUUAAAUUCAGGAUUCUUACUUUCUUUGCAAUAUACUUGAAAAAAUUGUUUACAGUAUACAGCUUGGUAAAUUGGGAUUCUAGAAAUACACGAUUUUCUACUUUUCAUGUGAUGCAUAUAUAUUACAAAGAAAUCUCAUAUGCCAAUCAUAUAAAUGACUUCUGCAGAUCGAGAUUCCAGCGACUAACUACGUACGUAUACGUGCGACUAGAUCAACGUGUGUCACCAUGUAACGUAUUAAUUUACAAUCUCGUCGUAUCUCUUCGACCAACAGUAAGUACGUCAAGACCAAGUAUUUUUCUUCUUUCUUUACGAGUUAGUGCAGUUUAAAAUUUCCUAUCGUUUAAUUAGAAGCUCAAUAAUAAUGGUGCUGGAAAGUAGCAUUACUCAUAAAGAUAAUCAUCGUUGACAAAUCAAAGAUACAACGAGCAAAAAUCAUUCUACGAUUAAAGUAUCGCGACUUUCUGUUGCGUGUUGAGGCAAAUGAAAUUCAGAAUGUCACGCAACAGAGUAAAAUUUCGCUGUCGCGCACAGAUUGAUCGAAGAAAAAGGUGAAAUUCUCCUUGUCCCUUUUAAAUUAUGAAUAUGCAUUCGUGAAGUGUUUCAAGUUUCCUGCGAUUAAAUAAAUAGAAUUAUGUAUUUACGAUUUAACGAGAUUGCUCUUGAGAUAUAUUUUUCUUCGCUAUAAGAAUUCUUUUUAGCAAGUGGUCGCAAACAAUCACGUGAUCGGUGACAGAGAGGGCUUUUACGAUUCACACGAAUAUAAUUAAUAAGACAGGUCGUUAAAUUUUUAAUUAGAAGCUGGACGGCCGUUAAUGGAAGGAAUUAUACGUUUCUCACUAUCAAUCUUCUCCUCGUACUCGUAUGUAAAGAAGUUCCGUACGUUUUACAACGUUUGCUGUUGCUUGCAGUCACGGCCAGCGUAUAAUCGAUCAAAGGCGGGUAUUAAGUUCGCUUUUUAUUUUUUUAUGUGUUGCGAUAACGAUUCGUGCGACAGGUUGUUACAUAUCAAAAUCGGGCGAUAAAUGUAGACGACUGUUUAUUCGCGGGAAAACGUAUCACGAAAAUGACAUCUUAUCGUUUUGGAAAAUUUCUGUUCGAUUUAAGAUUGUCGAAAAGCGAACAUCCUUUUCUACCAACUAAAAUUUCUUCCUGAUGUUACGCCAUCAUUUUUCAUCGAAGGAGGUUCAUCUAAAAAAUUAGAAGAAAGAGAUAAGACAAAGAAUAUGUCACAAUUUUUUAAUCAAAGGAAAUAGCUUCACCGAGUGCAGAAGUUUAAAUAUCCAACGCAGAAAGUUGACGAUUAUCCACAAUAUCUAUAACUUAUACGUACAAGGAUUUUAUUGAAAUUGGAAUGUAACGAUAGUCGUUAAAUCCACAUAACCAGAAACAAAUUGUGCAAUAGUAAUUGAGAAUUCAGUAUGUACACGAUUCGGUUUGCAGGAAAGGGAAGGCGCUGAGAGGAUCGAGGUAAUUAUCAAUUUCCUGUCUAUCUUUCGGAAAUUAACUCGUUCAACCAGGGUUCGAUCACUGGAACGACUUUCGAUCGGCAUGAUGUGAAACUCUGCCAUUGAAGAUGAUUCCAUAGUAUGUAAAUGCAUACCAUUACGAAAAGGGAUUUCGUUCUACAAAAGUAAAAGUGAACACAACGAAAUUGUUAAGAAACGCGAUCACCCGAUAAAGUGAAGGAAGUCUCUCUAUGGAAAUGCGUCGUUUAAAUAGCUGAUUAUUAGUCAACGUCGGCUUUUCUGGAAUCGAAGAUAUCACGGGAAGCAUUUGCAUCCGCAGAAAAAUAUGAAACCAAUGCAAUCUUUG
rnacentral:lncRNA from 1 species